rfam:Planctomycetales bacterium 71-10 scnpilot_p_inoc_scaffold_588, whole genome shotgun sequence.
GCCCUCGUAGCUCAACGGAUAGAGUCACUGACUUCGAAUCAGAAGGUUGCAGGUUCGAAUCCUGCCGAGGGCA